UUCUGUCACAGCUGUCAGUAUCAAUGGCUCUUGCUUGGCACCGUACCCUAAAGGAGGAAGAGAGCGGCUUACUGUUUUAUGGUCAAGAAAGCAUGUGUACUGCCACAUCCUUUCCUUAAGGGAGUACUCUACUUUGCCUACGCUGAAUUUCAAAGGGCACGCAUGGAAAAGCAAGUUAAAACUGAAAACAAUGUAAUUGUGCUCCAUUGUUUUGCAUGAGACUUCUACUAGUAGAUCAAGAUACGGAAACUGAGUGUAUUUGAUGAAACAGACCUCACAAGACAGUACUGCCAAACCUGAUCCCCUCUGUUCUUAAUCAUAAAAAAAAAAAGAGACAUGUUAGUUUUGCUGACUUCUACCAAGAAAAGCAGAAACUGAAUAUUAGCGCUGUCAUUUCUAGAAAUGUAGUUGUUCUGUUCUCAAUCCUACUGAAGAAGAGGUAACAUACCGAGAACUACUUUGCACAGAAACAGUAUUUGUGUGAAGCACUAUUCAAUUUUCUGUUUCACAUCAAAUGCUGAAGAUGAACUUACCAUCUG